UUUUUUUAUUUACAAGGGUUUCAAAUUUGAUUAUAGUUUUAAGUAGAGCUAAGAUGGUGUUAUCUAUUAUUGAUUCAUAUAGUGGGCAAUGUUUUUUUACCUCGGCAGUGUAUUGUUUGUAUAAAUUUUGUUCCAGAAUAAUCGGCUAGACUUUAUAAACUUAUACUCUAAUUAAUGUUAAUUUAGAGUUAUUUCGGUAUUGAUUUUUAAUUUUAGGGUGAAAUCAGAAAUUAUUUUUAUUUAAACUCUAAAUUUUAAGAUUUAGUAAACAAACCAGAUUAGUACCUGGUUAGAUAAAAUUUAAAAGAGCAGGAGUAAAGUUAUAUUUAAACUGUAAGAAUAUUGGCAGGUUUUUAAAUUAUCUUUGGAGGCUGAGUAGUGAUUGAGAGCCCUCAUUUUCAACUUUUUCUUUAGGCGCAUGUAUGAUCGUUUAUUUUAUUCUUAAGGAUUGUAAUUUUAGUCUUUGCUAUAAAAAUAGAUAGAUAUCUGGCUUAUGAGAAAGAUUUAAUUUGGCCUACAAUAAUUUAAUUUUUGGAUUCUAGUUUUAGAGGCUAGAU
rnacentral:rRNA from 1 species